GGACGAACGCUGGCGGCGUGCUUAACACAUGCAAGUCGAACGCUGAAGCCCAGCUUGCUGGGUGGAUGAGUGGCGAACGGGUGAGUAACACGUGAGUAACCUGCCCCCUUCUUUGGGAUAACGCCCGGAAACGGGUGCUAAUACUGGAUAUUCACUGAUCYUCGCAUGGGGGUUGGUGGAAAGGUUUUUUCUGGUGGGGGAUGGGCUCGCGGCCUAUCAGCUUGUUGGUGGGGUGAUGGCCUACCAAGGCUUUGACGGGUAGCCGGCCUGAGAGGGUGACCGGUCACAUUGGGACUGAGAUACGGCCCAGACUCCUACGGGAGGCAGCAGUGGGGAAUAUUGCACAAUGGGCGAAAGCCUGAUGCAGCGACGCCGCGUGAGGGAUGACGGCCUUCGGGUUGUAAACCUCUUUCGCUCAUGGUCAAGCCGCAGCUUUGGGUUGUGGUGAGGGUAGUGGGUAAAGAAGCGCCGGCUAACUACGU
rnacentral:rRNA from 1 species